GUGAGGAAUAUUGGUCAAUGGGCGGGAGCCUGAACCAGCCAAGUCGCGUGAAGGAAGAAGGAUCUAUGGUUCGUAAACUUCUUUUGCAGGGGAAUAAAGUGCAGGACGUGUCCUGUUUUGUAUGUACCCUGAGAAUAAGGAUCGGCUAACUCCGUGCCAGCAGCCGCGGUAAUACGGAGGAUCCGAGCGUUAUCCGGAUUUAUUGGGUUUAAAGGGUGCGUAGGUGGUUUGAUAAGUCAGCGGUGAAAGUUUGCAGCUUAACUGUAAAAAUGCCGUUGAACCUGUCGGACUUGAGUGUAAAUGAGGUAGGCGGAAUGCGUGGUGUAGCGGUGAAAUGCAUAGAUAUCACGCAGAACUCCGAUUGCGAAGGCAGCUUACUAAGCUACAACUGACACUGAAGCACGAAAGCGUGGGGAUCAAACAGGAUUAGAUACCCCAGUAGUCC
rnacentral:rRNA from 1 species